rnacentral:misc_RNA from 1 species
GAUGAAGAACGUAGUGAAACGCGAUAAGUAAUGUGAAUUGCAGAAUCCAGUGAAUCAUCGAAUCUUUGAACGCACAUUGCGCCCGCCAGCAUUCUGGCGGGCAUGCCUGUUCGAGCGUCAUUUCAACCCUCGACCUCCCCUUGGGGAGGUCGGCGUUGGGGACCGGCAGCACACCGCCGGCCCUGAAAUGGAGUGGCGGCCCGUCCGCGGCGACCUCUGCGCAGUAAUACAGCUCGCACCGGGACCCCGACGCGGCCACGCCGUAAAACACCCAACUUCUGAACGUUGACCUCGAAUCAGGUAGGACUACCCGCUGAACUUAAGCAUAUCAAUAAGCGGAGG